GAUGAACGCUGGCGGCGUGCCUAAUACAUGCAAGUCGAGCGAACGGACGAGAAGCUUGCUUCUCUGAUGUUAGCGGCGGACGGGUGAGUAACACGUGGAUAACCUACCUAUAAGACUGGGAUAACUUCGGGAAACCGGAUCUAAUACCGGAUGAUAUUUUGAACCGCAUGGUUCAAAAGUGAAAUACGGUCUUGCUGUCACUUAUAGAUGGAUCCGCGCUGCAUUAGCUAGUUGGUAAGGUAACGGCUUACCAAGGCAACGAUGCAUAGCCGACCUGAGAGGGUGAUCGGCCACACUGGACCUGAGACACGGUCCAGACUCCUACGGGAGGCAGCAGUAGGGAAUCUUCCGCAAUGGGCGAAAGCCUGACGGAGCACCGCCGCGUGAGUGAUGAAGGUCUUCGGAUCGUAAAACUCUGUUAUUAGGGAAGAACAUAUGUGUAAGUAACUGUGCACAUCUUGACGGUACCUAAUCAGAAAGCCACGGCUAACUACGUG
rnacentral:rRNA from 1 species